CCUCAAUAGAUGGCCUGAAUCAAAAUCGAAAAGGUCGAGGGCUCUCGCUGUCGUCUUCCUCGAUAGAUGUUCUUCGCUCUGAAUCUGUGAUCAAGUGAGUCACACUCUAAUGGAGGUUGUUUGAGGUUCACUGUCUCAAAUCUUCGUCUGGAUUCACUAAGUCGGUAGCUUUCGUGCCGUCUCGCACCUGAUUCGUCGACUAUGUUACGUUACGGUGGUGAAACUUCUACUAUAUAAAGAGGUGCGUCUGCUCCGGUUUUGGUAAGCGUGGUGGCGACCUCAUGUGAGUUGAUAUUGCUUCUUCUGGAUUCUAAGGCGACAGUCAUUCGCCGCGGUCAACGUUCAUCUUCUGAAAUCUGAAUACCUUCAAGCAUCUUCUCAACCCGGGUUCAGUGUACUCUGUCAGUGGGGUUUGAUGUGACUCGGAGUAUUAUAAACUUCAAGCUCUUGGCCUGUCCGUUUCAGUGAGUCAGCCACUUUCAAAGAGAUAACCGCACCGGUUAGACCAAUCCCUUAAGAACUUUUCCGGUUCCGCAAUCAUGAUGAACUUCUUGGUCUAGCAAACCCAGAUGCCAAACUUCCAGGGUGAGAGCCUGAUAUGUGAUAUGCUGCUUGCAUUCAGUGUAAUAAGUAACCCAGCGGUUCAAGCAACAGAGGGACAACGCAUCUCAGGAACCAUCUCAUGCAUUGUAUCGAAAGAACCAAUCACUGACAUGUCUCAGCCGCUAACUCCCAAGAGAAGGAAGAAAGAGAAUCCAGUGACAGUUGCUACUAUCAGUCUCAAUGAGGGUCAUCCGAAGACGGUUACAACAUUAUGCCUAAGUUUGAUCAGGAGCAACAUAGUGACGAGAUUGUUGGGAGCCGCGGAAGCAGAGGAAGAGGAAGGUUUAGUCAAAAAGGGUGUCAGGAUGGUCUUUAUAAGAUAUAAAUUCGCUGUUAACUCCGUUUUCAUAUGUACUAUUACAUAUAAAGAUUUAUGUAUAAUGCAAAAUAAAAGAUUCUGUAUAAUAAAAUUAAUGUAAGGAUUAGUAUAAGUUUAGUUAGUCAGCUAUACUAACUUCUAAUCAGUUGUAUCAAUAACAUGGUUAACUUUUCUA